UGGGGAAUAUUGCACAAUGGAGGAAACUCUGAUGCAGCGACGCCGCGUGAGGGAAGAAGGUAUUCGUAUUGUAAACCUCUGUCUUCGUGGACGAUAAUGACGGUACACGAGGAGGAAGCCACGGCUAACUACGUGCCAGCAGCCGCGGUAAAACGUAGGUGGCAAGCGUUGUCCGGAAUUACUGGGUGUAAAGGGAGCGCAGGCGGUUCUUCAAGUUGGAUGUUUAAUCUACGGGCUCAACCCGUAAUCGCAUUCAAAACUGAAGAACUUGAGUGAAGUAGAGGUAGGCGGAAUUUCCGGUGUAGCGGUGGAAUGCGUAGAUAUCGGAAGGAACACCAGUGGCGAAGGCGGCCUACUGGGCUUUUACUGACGCUGAGGCUCGAAAGCAUGGGUAGCAAACA
rnacentral:rRNA from 1 species